rnacentral:lncRNA from 1 species
AGGGGCCUUGUCGGUUCUGCGGGGCGAGCGCCUUCGCGGAAAACUCCAAAGUACCCUCUGUGGAGCCUUGUUGAGUAUCUUCAAACCUUCAGAGGGACCUUUUAUCAGCGACCCAUGCCGCAGUUUACAGAAGAACGCUUUGUGCGUGCUUUGGGACGUAUGGAUCACUUUUAAACUUUUUCCUUUGAAGCUCAGACAGCUUGCGGGGGGCUUGGGAGGAGCGCUGCCCGGGGAGUUAGAAGGCUUGGGUCAAAGUCAUAGCCCUCAUACUUCUUGAGAGUGACCUUGGGUGAGUCGCUGGACCCUGAGCCCCAAAUCUCCGUCUGAAAAGUAACCCAUGCCUUGUAUGCGUCCUCGGGCUGUUGCAGGAGUCUUUGGAAAUGAUGGUUCUGACUCUGAGUUGGAAACUGGAACGCACACAACAGAUGGGAGGCGUUGAAGGAAACAGAAAGGUCGGCCUGAGGGGAGAGGCGUUUCAGGAGGCUUGCGGAUGUGUGAAGUGUGCGCACUGUGCUUGGGGCGAGCCCAAGCAGUAACCCCACCCGAGUGAAGCGUUCUUGGGGGGAUCGGCUCCGGGUGGGCGACGUUCCCCGCGUGCCCCCUUCCCCCGAGAGCACUUUGUAGACACUGACUCCAAAAGCGGGUCUGGUCUCUGCCCAGCCCCACUUUGGCUGGCGUGCUUAGGUGCCUCUCGGGAAGCUGGAGACCACCCUCCCCCAUUCCAGCAAACGCUCCAUUGAGGAACCUACUGCGUGCCAGGUCCUGGGGAGCUUAGCGUCUGAUGAAGGAUACAACAACAAAAGACUGGAAAUUCAGAAGCAUGAGGGGACCUCCCCCCUCGAGGGAGAACCAGAGAUGGCUUCACAGAGCAGACGUUUGAACUGGGCCUUGGAGGAUGGAUGAGUGGAAUUUGGCCCAGUGGAGAAAGUCAUAGCAGCAGGAGAUAAGAUUGUAAGGGUCAGGUGGUGGGGCUGGAUAAUGCGAAUCUUGACUGUCAGACACAGACACCUGCCAUCUAAUUAGUACGCGAGGGAUAAAUUUUGGACUCCGCAGGAUAAGGACAAGGCUACACAAUGGCUUAGAACAGUUAAUCGGGCAACAGUUGGAAAGGGCCUUUGCCUCAAAAUUAUGUUUGCCCUGUCUUGUGUGAAUGCCUAUUCAGAUGCAUUAUUUGAAAAAUAAAUAAACCAGGCAGGCAUC